CCCAACCCGAAACAAGGAAAUGGAAAGACCAAUUCACCAUGGAAUCAGCAACCUGGAAUUAGUCACGUGUGGAAAAUUGAAAAAAUGAAUUUAAGUUCAAAUUAAAAACUAGAUAAAUGUGCGUAGGUCAAACCAGAUGAUCUCAGGGCACUCAGAUGAGAAACCACCACGUUGGGAAUCGCCUCUGGCAACGGUGGCCACCAGAAAUGGAAAUUUCACACAUCAUUCCACUCGUCUCCUCAAGCCCUUCCUGAAUCUCCCAUCAAUUUACCAGAUUCUAAGCCUAAACCACUAACCGAACCAAAAUGAUCAAGAACCCUAAAUAUAUGAUCUUAAAUUAAAUCCUCCCUAUGAGGAUUCAAAGCCCAUGGGAUUGGGGCUUUGAAUCCCCUCCCUAUUCUCUACAUGAUGGUGACAAAAAAUCGGUGAAAAUAAGUGUUUUCAGAAGUACCUUGCCGGAGAAAGAUGAAACUGAUGACGUCGGUGGUGAGCUUCCAGGUUAACAGUUCUGACUCUCCUUCUUGCUUUCAAAUUCCAAAUCUUCUUCUCCUUUUCUUUUUCUCGCUGCUUCUAAGUUGUGGAUGUUGAGUUGAAUUUGAGUAUUAGGUGAUUUCUUGAGAGAGUUUCAAGGUUAUGAAUGUGUGAUUGGUGAUGAUCAGUGAAUGAUGAAGGUUGAUAUUGGUGAAGAUGAAUGAGUGAAUGAUGAAGCUAAGGAUGAUGAGUAUGAGUGUGUUGAGAGUCCAAAAAAAUAUUGACUGAUUUUUUGUAUUUGUAAUUCUGUGAUGAUGAUUCCAGGUUCAAAUGAGUAAUGAUUGGAUCAGAGUUUGUAGCCCUUUGAUUGAGGUGGUUAUGAUUCUGAUUUAUUGGUAGUUAGGUAUGGGGAUUGAUGAAAAGUUCUAUUGCGAAUCGGUUAGGAAAUGUCACUAGAAUCGAGCCAAUUUGGUUGGCAUUGAAUUAUGUGAUUGCAGUUAGUUAGUUCAAUUAGGUUGCAUGGCUUGUAUUAGGUUAGUUCUGAACUAUUAUGUGGUAAGUUGAAAUGCUAAUUUUGAUGUUGUGAAUGUUAUGUCUUGAGUGCAGGUCUGCUGCAAAUGGUUAUGGUUCAUUCAAUUUCUUUCAUUUAGCUAGGUCAUGUAAGGCUAUCAUGGUAGGAUUGUUUGCUCAAUUGGCAUGCUUUUGUAGCUUGGUUUAUGACAGUGAAUUGGCUUGAUAGCAGGUUUGUUGCAAGGAGCUUGAUGCAUUGGUUUAUGGCAUGCUGACAUGUGGUGUGAAUGUGUAUUAGCAUGUGGUAUUGCAGGUAUGAUGUAGGCUCAUGGUCUUGCACAUGUGAUACAUAAUUUUGAACAUGGAUUGUGGAUGACAUCAAGUUUGAAGAAGAUUUAGAAUGAAAAUUGUAAAUGAAGAAAAGUGAAAUGUAAUUAGGUUUAGGACUUGGUGAUUAGGUUUGAAAUGUAUAUGGAAUGAUUGUAAGUUGAAGCAUGUAAUUGGAAAUUGUAAUGUUGGUUUGUAAAUGAAAGUAUGAUUUGAUUUAUGAACAUGGUUUAAAAGUGAUUUGAA